GGGAGGAGAGUGAGUAGGGGGAGGAGGAGACUUGAGGAGAUAAGGAGGAGGAGGUGAAGGAGAUGAUGGAGGGGGAGACUUGUAGACAUAUGGAGGUGGUGGUGACGGGGAAGGUGGAGGUGGGGACUUGUAGUGAUAUGGAGGUGGAGGUGAGGGUGAGGGUGGUGGUGGUGACUUAUAAAUGUAGGGUGGAGGAGGUGAUGGGGAAGGAGGAGGCGGGGACUUGUAGACGUAUGGAGGUGGUGGUGAUGGAGAUGGAGGAGGUGGAGGCUUCUAAAUGUAAGGAGGAAAAGGUGAUGGAGAUGGUGAUGGAGAUGGUGUUGGAGAUGGUGUUAGAGACGGUGAUGGAGAGGGUGAUGGAGAUGGUGUUGGAGAUGGUGAUGGAGAUGGUGGAGAUGGUGUUGGAGUUGGUGAUGGAGAUGGUGUUGGAGAUGGUGAUGGAGAUGGUGGAGAUGGUGUUGGAGAUGGUGAUGGAGAUGGUGUUGGAGAUGGUGAUGGAGAUGGUGGUGGUGGUGACUUGUAAGGAGGUGGAGGUGAGGGUGAGGGUGGCGGGGGAGACUUGUAGUGAUACGGAGGAUGUAUCACAUGCUUGGGUGGUGGCGGAGGUGGUGACUUGGGAUGUGGCCAAUAUGGUGAUGACUUGGGCGGUGGUGGAGGUGGUGACUUAGGCGGUGGUGGAGGUGGUGAAAACUUGGGCAGUGGCCAAGGUAGUGGCCAAUAUGGUGAUGACUUGGGCGGUGGUGGAG
rnacentral:lncRNA from 1 species